GGGCCCAUAGCUCAGUGGUAGAGUGCCUCCUUUGCAAGGAGGAUGCCCUGGGUUCGAAUCCCAGUGGGUCCA
rnacentral:ncRNA from 12 species